rnacentral:rRNA from 1 species
GGACGAACGCUGGCGGCGUGCCUAAUACAUGCAAGUCGAACGAACCGCGACUAGGUGCUUGCACUUGGUCAAGGUGAGUGGCGAACGGGUGAGUAACACGUGGGUAACCUACCUCAUAGUGGGGGAUAACAGUCGGAAACGACUGCUAAUACCGCAUAGGACAUAGGAUCACAUGAUCCAGUGAGGAAAGGUGGCGCAAGCUAUCGCUAAGAGAUGGACCCGCGGUGCAUUAGCUAGUUGGUAGGGUAAAGGCCUACCAAGGCGAUGAUGCAUAGCCGACCUGAGAGGGUGAUCGGCCACAUUGGGACUGAGACACGGCCCAAACUCCUACGGGAGGCAGCAGUAGGGAAUCUUCCGCAAUGGACGCAAGUCUGACGGAGCAACGCCGCGUGAGUGAAGAAGGUCUUCGGAUCGUAAAGCUCUGUUGUUAGAGAAGAACAGCGCAUAGAGUAACUGUUAUGCGUGUGACGGUAUCUAACCAGAAAGCCACGGCUAACUACGUG